AAAAAGAAACAAAGCAAAGCUGUAUGAAAUUGUGUUGUCCUUUAUGGUCAGUUUGUUUAUUGAGUUUGUGAGGCAUAAAAAAAAAAAAUGUAUAUUGAAUAAUAUAUUAUUUUCUAAACUCUCUCAAUAGGUUAUGUUAUCCACAUAAAAUAACUCACUAUUAUUAUUAUUAUUAUAUGUAUAAUUCAUUUAGAUGCUUUGCAACAUAAUCUGCUUAUUUACGGACUAAUUCAUUAAUUUGUAAAAUCUUGUACUAAUAAACGUUUUACGUGACACUUUUGAUCUUCCAUACAGUUACAGCUAUUCUCGCUGCCUAGCAACCGGUUGACAGUCAACGUCCAAUCAGAUUCACCCAGGUGCGCAGCGCGGCCAUUACAACCGCACCGUCUUCGACACAGCUGACGUCUUUUUAGCAAGUUACGGGUCGCUUUUUGCUUCAUGACUCUGUGGUUUGACUGCUGACGCUACUAAUAAGUGGACACUCACUUAAGUUUGACCCGCCAUUAAGCCCGAGUCCAAGGCCGACCCGGUCGCCGUUUGUGAAGGUGUUGUGCAGUUUGUGCAGAUGUCCUUCCAGAGACGACACGUCCAGCUCCGUGUCCCCGUAGAGGUAGUAUUCGAGCAGGGCCUGGUAGAUGAAUGAGUACUGCAUCUGUGGUUCGUCAGCAUGACAACAGUCGCUACUUUCUGCUCCCAUAUCAUCCUCCAGAAAUCUGCUGUGGUGUCUUCUUUUGGACCUGAUUAGUCAAGAAGAAGUAAGAUGGAAGAAGACGAUACCACCCUCGAGUCUGUACGAAGCAGACAAUCUAUCUGGGAAGACCUCAGUAACCUCAGUUAACGGUGGAGACUACGAAUCUCAAGGCCAUCAUGCCUAACACACAGAUACCUGGCUACAUGUCUUGUCUGCCUGCACAACCUUGUCUGGGAACGGAGAUGUUUCACACGUCGGAGAGAGCGAGAGCGAGAGCCAUGAACGCCUCCACUUCUUUCACAGACGACUGCCAAAAGAAUGGCUUUAUUUAUCCUCUUCGGAUUAUUGUGAAAGAAAGGUCAGGCUGUCUACAGGGUGAUUCAACGCGACAAAAAGACAUGGACUCUUGCUGUAGGCUGUGUGAAUAAUGAAAAUAAAAAAUAAAAACAACA